rnacentral:miRNA from 1 species
ACCGGGCAUGGUAGUGUACAC